rnacentral:rRNA from 1 species
GACGAACGCUGGCGGCGUGCUUAACACAUGCAAGUCGAACGGAAAGGCCCUGCUUUUGUGGGGUGCUCGAGUGGCGAACGGGUGAGUAACACGUGAGUAACCUGCCCUUGACUUUGGGAUAACUUCAGGAAACUGGGGCUAAUACCGGAUAGGAGCUCCUGCUGCAUGGUGGGGGUUGGAAAGUUUCGGCGGUUGGGGAUGGACUCGCGGGUUAUCAGCUUGUUGGUGGGGUAGUGGCUUACCAAGGCUUUGACGGGUAGCCGGCCUGAGAGGGUGACCGGCCACAUGGGGACUGAGAUACGGGCCAGACUCCUGCGGGAGGCAGCAGUGGGGAAUAUUGCACGAUGGGCGGAAGCCUGAUGCAGCAACGCCGCGUGCGGGAUGACGGCCUUCGGGUUGUAAACCGCUUUCGCCUGUGACGAAGCGUGAGUGACGGUAAUGGGUAAAGAAGCACCGGCUAACUACGUG